rnacentral:rRNA from 1 species
AGUGAACGCUGGCGGUAGGCCUAACACAUGCAAGUCGAACGGCAGCACAGUAAGAGCUUGCUCUUACGGGUGGCGAGUGGCGGACGGGUGAGGAAUACAUCGGAAUCUACUUUUUCGUGGGGGAUAACGUAGGGAAACUUACGCUAAUACCGCAUACGACCUACGGGUGAAAGCAGGGGAUCUUCGGACCUUGCGCGAUGGAAUGAGCCGAUGUCGGAUUAGCUAGUUGGCGGGGUAAAGGCCCACCAAGGCGACGAUCCGUAGCUGGUCUGAGAGGAUGAGCACCAACACGGGAACUGAGACGCGGCCGAGACCCGGAGGGGGGGAGGCAGGGGGAAUGUUUGGACAGGGGGCGAAAGCCGUCCCCACCCAUACGGGGGGGGUAAAGAGGGCUUUGGGGUUGUAAGCCCUUUUUGUGGGGAAAAAAAAGCAGCAGGUAAAUCCCCCGCUUUUCGCAGGGAACCAAAAAAAAAAGCCCGGGCUAGCUUCGUC